rnacentral:rRNA from 1 species
AGUCAACAUACGGGGAAAAGAACUUUCUUUUUCCUUAUACUGAGGAGGAAGAGCCAACCACCGGCAGCUUUAGUAUCGGCGCGAGUGAGCGGCAAAAGCUCAAAUUUGAAAUCUGGCGCCUUCGGUGUCCGAGUUGUAAUUUGAAGAAGGUAACUUUGGGGUUGGCUCUUGUCUAUGUUCCUUGGAACAGGACUUCACAGAGGGUGAGAAUCCCGUGCGAUGAGAUGCCCAAUUCUAUGUAAAGUGCCUUCGAAGAGUCGAGUUGUUUGGGAAUGCAGCUCUAAGUGGGUGGUAAAUUCCAUCUAAAGCUAAAUAUUGGCGAGAGACCGAUAGCGAACAAGUACAGUGAUGGAAAGAUGAAAAGAACUUUGAAAAGAGAGUGAAAAAGUACGUGAAAUUGUUGAAAGGGAAGGGUUUGAGAUCAGACUUGGUAUUUUGUGAGCCUUGCUUUCUCGGGGGGGUGCCUCCCUUUUCUGUGCGCCCAACUCGUUUUGGGGGGGGGAAAAAAAACUGGGGAGUGUGACUCUCCUUCGGGGGAGUGUUAUACCCUGCGUAGAUGCUGCCUGCCUACCCAGAAGACUGCCAUUUUAUCCAGGAUGCUGGGUAUAUUGAUCCCAACGCC